UACGGGGGGGGCAAGCGUUGUUCGGAAUUACUGGGCGUAAAGGGUUCGUAGGUGGCCAACUAAGUCAGAUGUGAAAGCCCCGGGCUCAACCUGGGAAUGGCAUUUGGGACUGCAAGGCUGGAGUUUGGCAGAGGAGACUGGAAUUCCCGGUGUAGCAGUGAAAUGCGUAGAUAUCGGGAGGAAUACCGAUGGCGAAGGCAGGUCUCUGGGCUAUAACUGACGCUCAUGCACGAAAGCGUGGGGAGCAAACAGG
rnacentral:rRNA from 1 species